rnacentral:rRNA from 1 species
UACAGAGGGUGCAAGCGUUAAUCGGAAUUACUGGGCGUAAAGCGUGCGUAGACGGUCAUGUAAGUCGGGUGUGAAAGCCCCGGGCUCAACCUGGGAAUUGCAUUCGAGACUGCAUGGCUAGGAUGCGGAAGAGGGAAGCGGAAUUUCCGGUGUAGCGGUGAAAUGCGUAGAUAUUGGGAAGAACACCGGUGGCGAAGGCGGCCAACUGGACCACAACUGACGCUGAGGCGCGAAAGCGUGGGGAGCAAACAGG